UACGUAGGGGGCAAGCGUUGUCCGGAAUUAUUGGGCGUAAAGAGCGCGUAGGCGGUCCGAUAAGUCGGCUGUGAAAGUCAGGGGCUCAACCCUUGGAAGCCGGCCGAUACUGUCGGACUAGAGUCCGGAAGAGGCGAGUGGAAUUCCCGGUGUAGCGGUGAAAUGCGCAGAUAUCGGGAGGAACACCAAUGGCGAAGGCAGCUCGCUGGGACGGUACAGACGCUGAGGCGCGAAAGCGUGGGGAGCAAACAGG
rnacentral:rRNA from 1 species